CCCUGAGUGGUGUAAACAGUUAACAUGCUUGGCUGCUAACUGAGAAGUUGGUGGUUCAAAUCCACCCAGAGGCA
rnacentral:tRNA from 1 species